UACGGAGGAUCCAAGCGUUAUCCGGAUUUAUUGGGUUUAAAGGGUGCGUAGGCGGAUUGAUAAGUUAGAGGUGAAAUGUCCGAGCUCAACUCGGGAACUGCCUCUAAUACUGUUGAUCUAGAGAGUAGAUGCGGUAGGCGGAAUGUAUGGUGUAGCGGUGAAAUGCGUAGAUAUAUGGAAGAACACCAGUGGCGAAGGCGGCCGCCUGGCCUGUUGCUGACGCUGAGGCACGAAAGCGUGGGGAGCAAAUAGG
rnacentral:rRNA from 1 species